rnacentral:rRNA from 1 species
UACGGAGGAUGCGAGCGUUAUCCGGAUUUAUUGGGUUUAAAGGGUGCGCAGGCGGGCCUUUAAGUCAGCGGUGAAAUCCCGACGCUUAACGUCGGAACUGCCGUUGAAACGGGAAGCCUUGAGUAUAGAUGAAGUAGGCGGAAUUCGUUGUGUAGCGGUGACAUGCUUUGAUAUAACGAGGAACUCCGAUUGCGUAGGCAGCUUACUAAACUAUAACUGACGCUCAAGCACGAAAGCGUGGGGAUCAAACAGG